GUCUACACAACAGUAGGUACUCAUUAUUGCAGUGAAGUGAACAGUAUUAAGAAUGAAGUUGGUUGCAUUCGUAUUUGCCCUUUUAUUAGCAGUUGCUAGUGCUGGCUAUUUGAGAUAUGGUGGAAUCGGAGGAGGUUCUGGAGGUGGAUCUGGAGGCGGAUCUGGAGGCGGAGGUAGUGGAGGUGGAUAUGGGGGUCAUGGAAUUAGACUCGUUUCAUAUGGAGGAUAUGGUGGAUUAGGUAAGUUACUCCUUUAGUAUAAUCAUUUCUAAAUAAUAAUGGUUGUUAUUUCAGGUGGUAGUGGUGGAGGCAGCUAUCACCUAGGUUAAAUUCCAUAUGAACCUGUUGCCGAAAAUGAGUAAAUAAAUGCUUAAACAUUAAAUCUUGUUUUUAUUUUAAAAUAAAUAUAACUGUAUCACAAGGGCCAUCAGACAAAAAAAUAUUUUUUAUUUUCGAGGUAUAAGACUAGUUUUCAGUGACAAAAUAGGAAUUUUCUCCAGAAGGACUAUAAUCUAAUAAUAUAAGACUAGUUAACAAAAACAGUUCAAUAUACAAUCUUUACAUUAUCUACAAACUUCAAAUAAAUAAUAUAGAGAGCUAAGUUUUACUAGAAGAAAUCUCAUUGAUGGCACUUAAAUAUUAUAAUAAUUAUUAUUGUAACAUUAAUUAUAAAUUUUUAGUUUUAAAUUAAUUUAUAUACUUCUGAAUAUUAAGCACAGAGUUGAAGUUUAGUUUCAGUGUCACUUUUUAAAAUGGUUUUUCAUUGUUAUCUGCCAACUCUCAUACAAAUUAAAUUUUAAAUAUUUAAAUUUAAAUAGCACACUUUAGUAAUUUUUACCAAAGCUGUUUAGAACUGGCUUAUUUAUAACAUCUCCAUCAGGUGUCACUAUUGGUCCAGUUACGGAAAACGCCGAUAUGCUGCUGUGAAUUGUGCCCUUACGUCCUGGAAAUUGGUUGAGAACAAAAUGAAUUUUUCUAUUAUCCACGGGUUCCUCCGAUAUUGAAGAUCUUGUAACGGAGUGUGCUGGUUUAGAGUCGUGGAUACUUCCAGUUGGUCCAGGAAAUUGAGCAUUACAACAACCAAGUUGUGCACCCCAUCUUUCUCCAUGAGAACCUAUCAAAUUAUAAAAUAUCAUAGUUGUAAUUUUGUUCAAAUAAUAUUAAAUUUACUAUAAAAUAUUUUUAGAUACUUACUUUAGUUUUUACUAAAUUAUAUUCUUAAUACUCUAGUAGUAAAAUAAAGUUUAUAGUAAAAUUGGAGGAGAUAUUGGAUAGCUGAAUGGAGAACUCGAAAUAUAGUACUGGUAGAUAUGGAGGUGUUAUCUAAGUUUUCUAAUACU